AUACUUACCUGGCAAGGGAGAUACUGUGAUCAAGAAGGCAGUUCACCCAGGGCGUAGCUCAGCCUAUUGCCACUCCGGCUGUGCUAGACCAGCCUGCGAAUUUCCCAAAUGUUGAAAUCUCCGAUUGCAUAAUGUGAUGUAGUGGGGACAUGCGUUCGCGCUCUCCCCUG
ensembl:snRNA U1 U1 spliceosomal RNA